UGGUCACUUCCAUCAGGAAUGUCAUCAUAAGCCCUUUGGGGAACUCUUCAGGACCUCAUUCUCACUACAACUAGCAAAGGAGCAUAUGAUCUUGGUGCCAAAGGCGUCAUUGCAUCACUUUUCCAGCAGAGGGCACUGUUUCUCUAUAGAGGCGACUGUCUUUGCCACCAAAUGGUCAAAUCUGGGAAAAGCCACCAAGUUGCAGAUGCCAACCUGACUUCACUGGAUGGAAGACCUCACCAAUGUGCCCCACCUCUCCAGACUCCCGCUCGACUAGGAAAAGACAGAAAUAGGCUGGGAGUAUGGAUAGACCUACCAAUGUCCAUGUCUAGCAGAGAAACCAUUACAGAAGCCAAACCUUCCACCUUCUGCACCCCAUGAUGAUCCUGGGCCCAUACUCCCAGAGGGAUAAAGAUCAGAAAAACUUCCAGUGGAGGGAAUGGGAUACAGAACUCUGGUGGUGGGAAUUAUG